rnacentral:rRNA from 1 species
GACGAGGGACCCUAGCGUUGUUCGGAAUCAUUGGGCGUAAAGCGGGUGCAGGUGGCUUUGUAAGUCAGGUGUGAAAGCCCAGGGCUCAACCCUGGAAGUGCAUUUGAUACUGCGAAGCUUGAGUGCUGGAGAGAUUACUAGAAUUCCAGGUGUAGUGGUGAAAUACGUAGAUAUCUGGAGGAAUACCGGAGGUGAAGGCGGGUAAUUGGCCAGACACUGACACUCAGACCCGAAAGCGUGGGGAUCAAACAGG